GGUUAAGCGACUAAGCGUACACGGUGGAUGCCCUGGCAGUCAGAGGCGAUGAAGGACGUGCUAAUCUGCGAAAAGCGCCGGCGAGGUGAUAUGAACCCUUGACCCGGCGAUGUCCGAAUGGGGAAACCCAGUGUGUUCCGACACACUAUCGUUAACUGAAUACAUAGGUUAACGAGGCGAACCGGGGGAACUGAAACAUCUAAGUACCCCGAGGAAAAGAAAUCAACCGAGAUUCCCCCAGUAGCGGCGAGCGAACGGGGAGCAGCCCGGAGUCUGAAUCAGCUUGUGUGUUAGUGGAACGGUCUGGAAAGUCCGACGGUACAGGGUGAUAGUCCCGUACACGAAAAUGCACAUGCUGUGAACUCGAAGAGUAGGGCGGGACACGUGGUAUCCUGUCUGAAUAUGGGGGGACCAUCCUCCAAGGCUAAAUACUCCUGACUGACCGAUAGUGAACCAGUACCGUGAGGGAAAGGCGAAAAGAACCCCGGCGAGGGGAGUGAAAAAGAACCUGAAACCGUGUACGUACAAGCAGUGGGAGCACCUUCGGGUGUGACUGCGUACCUUUUGUAUAAUGGGUCAGCGACUUAUAUUCUGUAGCAAGGUUAACCGUAUAGGGGAGCCGAAGGGAAACCGAGUCUUAACUGGGCGUUAAGUUGCAGGGUAUAGACCCGAAACCCGGUGAUCUAGCCAUGGGCAGGUUGAAGGUUGGGUAACACUAACUGGAGGACCGAACCGACUAAUGUUGAAAAAUUAGCGGAUGACCUGUGGCUGGGGGUGAAAGGCCAAUCAAACCGGGAGAUAGCUGGUUCUCCCCGAAAGCUAUUUAGGUAGCGCCUCGUGAACUCAUCUUCGGGGUAGAGCACUGUUUCGGCUAGGGGGCCAUCCCGGCUUACCAACCCGAUGCAAACUACGAAUACCGAAGAAUGUUAUCACGGGAGACACACGGCGGGUGCUAACGUCCGUCGUGAAGAGGGAAACAACCCAGACCGCCAGCUAAGGUCCCAAAGUCAUGGUUAAGUGGGAAACGAUGUGGGAAGGCACAGACAGCCAGGAUGUUGGCUUAGAAGCAGCCAUCAUUUAAAGAAAGCGUAAUAGCUCACUGGUCGAGUCGGCCUGCGCGGAAGAUGUAACGGGGCUAAACCAUGCACCGAAGCUGCGGCAGCGACACUAUGUGUUGUUGGGUAGGGGAGCGUUCUGUAAGCCGUUGAAGGUGUGCUGUGAGGCAUGCUGGAGGUAUCAGAAGUGCGAAUGCUGACAUAAGUAACGAUAAAGCGGGUGAAAAGCCCGCUCGCCGGAAGACCAAGGGUUCCUGUCCAACGUUAAUCGGGGCAGGGUGAGUCGACCCCUAAGGCGAGGCCGAAAGGCGUAGUCGAUGGGAAACAGGUUAAUAUUCCUGUACUUGGUGUUACUGCGAAGGGGGGACGGAGAAGGCUAUGUCAGCCGGGCGACGGUUGUCCCGGUUUAAGCAUGUAGGCGGAGGUUCCAGGUAAAUCCGGUACCUUGUUAACGCUGAGGUGUGAUGACGAGGCACUACGGUGCUGAAGUGAUAAAUGCCCUGCUUCCAGGAAAAGCCUCUAAGCAUCAGGUAACACGAAAUCGUACCCCAAACCGACACAGGUGGUCAGGUAGAGAAUACCAAGGCGCUUGAGAGAACUCGGGUGAAGGAACUAGGCAAAAUGGUGCCGUAACUUCGGGAGAAGGCACGCUGAUAUGUAGGUGAAGUCCCUGCGGACGGAGCUGAAAUCAGUCGAAGAUACCAGCUGGCUGCAACUGUUUAUUAAAAACACAGCACUGUGCAAACACGAAAGUGGACGUAUACGGUGUGACGCCUGCCCGGUGCCGGAAGGUUAAUUGAUGGGGUUAGCGGCAACGCGAAGCUCUUGAUCGAAGCCCCGGUAAACGGCGGCCGUAACUAUAACGGUCCUAAGGUAGCGAAAUUCCUUGUCGGGUAAGUUCCGACCUGCACGAAUGGCGUAAUGAUGGCCAGGCUGUCUCCACCCGAGACUCAGUGAAAUUGAACUCGCUGUGAAGAUGCAGUGUACCCGCGGCAAGACGGAAAGACCCCGUGAACCUUUACUAUAGCUUGACACUGAACACUGGUCCUUGAUGUGUAGGAUAGGUGGGAGGCUUUGAAGCGUGGACGCCAGUCUGCGUGGAGCCGCCCUUGAAAUACCACCCUUUAAUGGCUGGUGUUCUAACGUAGACCCGUGAUCCGGGUUGCGGACAGUGUCUGGUGGGUAGUUUGACUGGGGCGGUCUCCUCCCAAAGAGUAACGGAGGAGCACGAAGGUUGGCUAAUCCUGGUCGGACAUCAGGAGGUUAGUGCAAUGGCAUAAGCCAGCUUGACUGCGAGCGUGACGGCGCGAGCAGGUGCGAAAGCAGGUCAUAGUGAUCCGGUGGUUCUGAAUGGAAGGGCCAUCGCUCAACGGAUAAAAGGUACUCCGGGGAUAACAGGCUGAUACCGCCCAAGAGUUCAUAUCGACGGCGGUGUUUGGCACCUCGAUGUCGGCUCAUCACAUCCUGGGGCUGAAGUAGGUCCCAAGGGUAUGGCUGUUCGCCAUUUAAAGUGGUACGCGAGCUGGGUUUAGAACGUCGUGAGACAGUUCGGUCCCUAUCUGCCGUGGGCGCUGGAGAAUUGAGGGGGGCUGCUCCUAGUACGAGAGGACCGGAGUGGACGCAUCACUGGUGUUCGGGUUGUCAUGCCAAUGGCACUGCCCGGUAGCUAAAUGCGGAAGAGAUAAGUGCUGAAAGCAUCUAAGCACGAAACUUGCCCCGAGAUGAGUUCUCCCUGAGACCUUGAGUCUCCUGAAGGAACGUUGAAGACGACGACGUUGAUAGGUCGGGUGUGUAAGCGCAGCGAUGCGUUGAGCUAACCGAUACUAAUGAACCGUGAGGCUUAACCUU
rnacentral:rRNA from 1 species